GUAUGAUUGCCAAUGAGAAAACUCUCCACACGAGACCAAAUGACGUAGAAGUAAUUGUUUGUUUGUCGUGUUUAUAUUUCAUUUCAAUUAAUGAGCUCUCUUUAACUAAAAACAGACAACAAUAGCAGACACAUAUGAUUUUCUGGUACUUGAACUUUUUCAAGUACAUGCGUCAGCUGUUUUAACCUGUACCAAACAUGCCUUUUUUUGUACUGAACAUUUUUUAUACCAUCCUCAAUCCAGAAAAAAAAUAUUUUUGUCAACUUG
rnacentral:lncRNA from 1 species